UUCAAGUGACGCACGAAUGAACCGCGAAAACUGAUUUCAUUCUCGCCGCCAAGAAACGCGCGAAAAAUCCUGUUUUCCACACUUGACCAAGCCAUCACACGGCUUAAUACGUAUCAGCUUGAUACCUCCAGGGAACAUCUUUGGCAUAACUUCUCCGACAUUUACGUGUGAAGAUGGUAGCGAGGAUGGUGUUCCAUAGCUCGCAAACUUACAGACAAACUCGAAGAAGACAAAAAGAGCACGAUUGCCCCGACUAAUUAUUCUUCAAACCAACGAAGUUACUGGUGCGAAAGAGAGAAAAGGAGUUCAUCGAUCAUCAGAGGUGCAUGGUAUACGGAUUC